rnacentral:rRNA from 1 species
AUUGAACGCUGGCGGCAGGCUUAACACAUGCAAGUCGAGCGGUAACAGAGAGAAGCUUGCUUUUCUGCUGACGAGCGGCGGACGGGUGAGUAAUGCCUAGGAAUCUGCCUAGUAGUGGGGGAUAACUUGCCGAAAGGUAAGCUAAUACCGCAUACGUCCUACGGGAGAAAGGAGGGGACCUUCGGGCCUUUCGCUAUUAGAUGAGCCUAGGUCGGAUUAGUUAGUUGGUGAGGUAAUGGCUCACCAAGACCGCGAUCCGUAACCGGUCUGGGAGGAUGAUCAGUCACACUGGAACUGAGACACGGUCCAGAAUCCUACGGGAUGCAGCAGUGGGGAAUAUUGGACAAUGGGAGGAACCCUGAUCCAGCCAUGCCGCGUGUGUGAAGAAGGUCUUAGGAUUGUAAAGCACUUUAAGUUGGGAGGAAGAGCAGUUAACUAAUAUUUGACUGUUUUGACGUUACCGACAGAAUAAGCACCGGCUAACUUCGUGCCAGCCGCCGCCGUAACAC